UGAUGACUGAAGCUUGCUUUGGUUUGAUUAGUGGCGAACGGGUGAGUAACACGUGAGUAACCUGCCCCUCACUUCGGGAUAACCAUUGGAAACGGUGGCUAAUACUGGAUAUGACACAUGGCCGCAUGGUCUGUGUGUGGAAAGAACUUUGGUGGGGGAUGGGCUCGCGGCCUAUCAGCUUGUUGGUGGGGUGAUGGCCUACCAAGGCUUUGACGGGUAGCCGGCCUGAGAGGGCGACCGGCCACACUGGGACUGAGACACGGCCCAGACUCCUACGGGAGGCAGCAGUGGGGAAUAUUGCACAAUGGGGGAAACCCUGAUGCAGCGACGCCGCGUGGGGGAUGAAGGCCUUCGGGUUGUAAACCCCUUUCAGUAGGGAACAAGGCCAUGAUUAUUGUUGUGGUUGAGGGUACUUGCAGAAGAAGCGCCGGCUAACUACGUGCCAGCAGCCGCGGUAAUACGUAGGGCGCAAGCGUUGUCCGGAAUUAUUGGGCGUAAAGAGCUCGUAGGCGGUUUGUCGCGUCUGCCGUGAAAACCCGAUGCUUAACAUCGGGCUUGCGGUGGGUACGGGCAGGCUAGAGUGCGGUAGGGGUGACUGGAAUUCCUGGUGUAGCGGUGGAAUGCGCAGAUAUCAGGAGGAACACCGAUGGCGAAGGCAGGUCACUGGGCCGUUACUGACGCUGAGGAGCGAAAGCAUGGGGAGCGA
rnacentral:rRNA from 1 species